rnacentral:rRNA from 1 species
UACAGAGGUGGCAAGCGUUGUUCGGAAUUACUGGGCGUAAAGGGCGCGUAGGCGGCUUGGUCAGUCCCGUGUGAAAUCCCUCGGCUCAACUGAGGAACUGCACGGGAAACUGCCUGGCUUGAGUUCGGGAGAGGGAAGCGGAAUUCCGGGUGUAGCGGUGAAAUGCGUAGAUAUCCGGAGGAACACCGGUGGCGAAGGCGGCUUCCUGGACCGACACUGACGCUGAGGCGCGAAACCGUGGGGAGCAAACAGG